AUAACUGUGGUAAUCCACCAGCUAAUACAUGCGAAAGAAGCGCUGACCUCACGGUCUGGCGUGCAUUUAUCAGACCAAGACCAACCGGGGUUCGCCCCNGUCCCUUUGGUGACUCUGGAUAACCCGAGCCGAUCGCACGGUCUUCGCACCGGCGACAGAUCAUUCGAAUGUCUGCCCUAUCAACUUUCGAUGGUAGGUUCUGUGCCUACCAUGGUGGCAACGGGUGACGGGGAAUCAGGGUUCGGUUCCGGAGAGGGAGCCUGAGAAACGGCUACCACAUCCAAGGAAGGCAGCAGGCGCGCAAAUUACCCACUCCCGACUCGGGGAGGUAGUGACGAAAAAUAACAAUACGGGACUCUUUCGAGGCCCCGUAAUUGGAAUGGGUACACUUUAAAUCCUUU
rnacentral:rRNA from 1 species